UACGAAGGGGGCUAGCGUUGCUCGGAAUCACUGGGCGUAAAGCGCACGUAGGCGGAUCUUUAAGUCAGGGUGAAAUCCUGGAGCUCAACUCCAGAACUGCCUUUGAUACUGGGGAUCUCGAGUCCGGGAGAGGUGAGUGGAACUCCGAGUGUAGAGGUGAAAUUCGUAGAUAUUCGGAAGAACACCAGUGGCGAAGGCGGCUCACUGGCCCGGUACUGACGCUGAGGUGCGAAAGCGUGGGGAGCAAACAGG
rnacentral:rRNA from 1 species